AUGACCCCAAUACGCAAAAUUAACCCCUUGAUAAAAUUAAUUAACCGCUCAUUUAUCGACCUCCCCACCCCAUCCAAUAUCUCCGCAUGAUGAAACUUCGGCUCACUUCUUGGUGCCUGCCUAAUCCUCCAAAUCACCACAGGACUAUUCCUAGCCAUACACUACUCACCAGACGCUUCAACCGCCUUCUCAUCGAUCGCCCAUAUCACCCGAGACGUAAAUUAUGGCUGAAUCAUCCGCUACCUUCACGCCAAUGGCGCCUCAAUAUUCUUCAUCUGCCUCUUCCUACACAUCGGCCGAGGCCUAUAUUACGGCUCAUUUCUUUACCUAGAAACCUGAAACAUUGGCAUCAUCCUCCUACUUACAACUAUAGCAACAGCCUUCAUGGGCUAUGUCCUCCCAUGAGGCCAAAUAUCCUUCUGAGGGGCCACAGUAAUUACAAACCUGCUAUCCGCCGUCCCAUACAUCGGAACAGAUCUGGUCCAAUGAAUCUGAGGAGGCUACUCAGUAGAUAGUCCCACCCUCACACGGUUCUUUACCUUUCACUUUAUCUUGCCCUUCAUUAUCACAGCCCUAGCAGCGCUCCACCUUCUAUUCCUACACGAAACAGGAUCAAACAACCCCCUAGGAAUCACCUCCCAUUCCGACAAAAUCACCUUCCACCCCUACUACACAAUCAAAGACAUCCUCGGCUUAUUUCUCUUUCUUCUCACCCUAAUGACGUUAACACUAUUCUCACCAUGGUUA
rnacentral:lncRNA from 1 species